GACGAACGCUGGCGGCGUGCUUAACACAUGCAAGUCGAACGGAAAGGCCCUGCUUUUGUGGGGUGCUCGAGUGGCGAACGGGUGAGUAACACGUGAGUAACCUGCCCUUGACUUUGGGAUAACUUCAGGAAACUGGGGCUAAUACCGGAUAGGAGCUCCUGCUGCAUGGUGGGGGUUGGAAAGUUUCGGCGGUUGGGGAUGGUCUCGCGGCUUAUCGGCUUCUUGGUGGGGUAGUGGCUUACCAAGGCUUUGACGGGUAGCCCGCCUGAGAGGGUGACCGGCCACAUUGGGACUGAGAGACGGCCCAGACUCCUACGGGAGGCAGCAGUCGGGAAUAUUGCACAAUGGGCGGAAGCCUGAUGCAGCAACGCCGCGUGCGGGAUGACGGCCUUCGGGUUGUAAACCGCUUUCGCCUGUGACGAAGCGUGAGUGACGGUAAUGGGUAAAGAAGCACCGGCUAACUACGUG
rnacentral:rRNA from 1 species